UGUGGGAGCGGGCUUGCCCGCGAUAGCGGUGGUUCAGUAGACAUCUUUGUUGACUGACACACUGCAAUCGCGGGCAAGCCCGCUCCCACA
rnacentral:antisense_RNA from 1 species